rfam:Caprimulgus carolinensis contig40431, whole genome shotgun sequence.
AAUGGAGGACUAAUCAGACUAAGUCUGAAGAGUGAGACUUAGAUGCCAGUGGCCUCCUAAAAGAAAAGAGAUGGAGAGAGCAGUCCUACUUACAGAAGAGCGAAGGGCUGCCUGCGCCAUCCAACACUU